rnacentral:rRNA from 1 species
AGUGAACGCUGGCGGUAGGCCUAACACAUGCAAGUCGAACGGCAGCACAGUAAGAGCUUGCUCUUACGGGUGGCGAGUGGCGGACGGGUGAGGAAUACAUCGGAAUCUACUUUUUCGUGGGGGAUAACGUAGGGAAACUUACGCUAAUACCGCAUACGACCUACGGGUGAAGGCAGGGGAUCUUCGGACCUUGCGCGAUUGAAUGAGCCGAUGUCGGAUUAGCUAGUUGGCGGGGUAAAGGCCCACCAAGGCGACGAUCCGUAGCUGGUCUGAGAGGAUGAUCAGCCACACUGGAACUGAGACACGGUCCAGACUCCUACGGGAGGCAGCAGUGGGGAAUAUUGGACAAUGGGCGCAAGCCUGAUCCAGCCAUACCGCGUGGGUGAAGAAGGCCUUCGGGUUGUAAAGCCCUUUUGUUGGGAAAGAAAAGCAGCAGGUUAAUACCCCGCCGUUCUGACGGUACCCAAAGAAUAAGCACCGGCUAACUUCGUG